AAGCUUUGGAUAGAUAAGUUGUGCUGACCUUCACACUGAGCACCCUCUGCAUGUAAAGUUCAUCACCAUACAAGGAGAUGAUUAUGAGCUUUAACCAGAAAAUGCAUGCACAAGUGAAAGAGAAAGCUGCCCUUUGAUUCUUCUCGACAGAGGCUGUGAUAAGCAAGUUCUCGACAGUCUGCACUGGCUGGGAAUGUGCAGGUGACUGUGGAGACAGCCGGGAAAGGACAAGAACGGGCAUAUGGUCCUCAUUGGCACAGCACACCAAAGUUCUCAAAUGUGGCAUCUAAUUCUGCGGUCCACCGGACAUCCUGAAUGGUGUUCUUCUAAAAGAGGUUAUAUGAGCAGGUGCUACGGGCCAGCCAUCGUGUCAGGUGUUUUACAUCCUGUUUAAUCUUCACAACAAUCCUUUGAGAGCACAGGCUCCGAACGCGCAGGCUCAGCGGCCAUGGCUCACGGGC